rnacentral:rRNA from 1 species
UACGUAGGGGGCAAGCGUUGUCCGGAAUCAUUGGGCGUAAAGCGCGUGUAGGCGGCCCGGAAAGUCUGGUGUGAAAUCCACUGGCUUAACUGGUGGCUUGCUUUCGAUACGGGCAGACUGGAGGUAUGCAGGGGAGAACGGAAUUCCUGGUGUAGCGGUGAAAUGCGCAGAUAUCAGGAGGAACACCAAUAGCGAAGGCAGCUCGCUGGGACGUUACUGACACUGAGGCGCGAAAGCGUGGGGAGCGAACAGG